rnacentral:rRNA from 1 species
GACGAACGCUGGCGGCGUGCUUAACACAUGCAAGUCGAACGGAAAGGCCCCUUUUGGGGUACUCGAGUGGCGCACGGGUGAGUAACACGUGCGUAACCUGCCCUUGACUUCGGGAUAACUUCACGAAACUGGGGCUAAUACCGGAUAGGAAUCCUUUCUGCAUGGUGGGGGUUGGAAAGCUUCGGCGGUUUUGGAUGGACUUGCGGCCUAUCAGCUUGUUGGUGCGGUAGUGGCUUACCAAGGCUUUGGCGGGUAGCCGGCCUGAGAGGGCGACCGGCCACAUGGGGACUGAGAUUCGGCCAAGACUCCUACGGGAGGCAGAAGUAGGGAAUAGUGCACAAGGGGCGGGAGCGUGAUGCAGCAACGCCGCGUGCGGGAUGACGGCCUUCGGGUUGUAAACCGCUUUCAGCAGGGGCGAAGCUUGUGGUGACGGUACCUGCAGAAGAAGCACCGGCUAACUACGUG